rnacentral:misc_RNA from 1 species
CGAAAUGCGAUACGUAGUGUGAAUUGCAGAAUUCCGUGAACCAUCGAAUCUUUGAACGCAUAUUGCGCCCGAGACUUUGUCAAGGGCAUGUCUGCCUCAGCGUCGGUUUAUACCCUUGCUUCCCCACAAUGUGGUGUGCAAACCAUACCGGUUUGCCGGAAGCAGACCUGGCUUUCCCAGAACACAAUACUGUGAGCUGGGUUAGCUGAAGUGCAGAGGCUAGAGCUUGGACCCGAUAUGGGCUCAACUGGAUAGGUAGCACCGGUUUAACCGACUACACGAAGUUGUUGCCUGUGGUCUUUGCUGGCGGCCAGCAGGAGACACACCUUGUGUGUGCUUAAACAUUCGACCUGAGCUCAGGCAAGAUUACCCGCUGAACUUAAGC